rnacentral:pre_miRNA from 2 species
AACCCCAGAGACUGGUGGCUUGGUUACAUUUAACAAAUGCCAAGCAAUGGCUUCUUAGGUUUU